UUACGUCCAUAUCAGGUUGAAACACCGGUUCUCGUGCGAUCGCCGAAGUUAAGCAAUGUCGAUCUUGGUCAGUACCUGGAUGGGUGACUACUUAAAAAUACCAGGU